AGUCAUUGCUCAGGAUUAUGCUGGUCACGAUGGAUAUUUGUUUUGGAUCAUUGCGUUAUCAAGAUGACACAGUUGACUGAGCCCAGUCACAAGAUAAGUGCGAAAAAUUAACCCCUGACUUUGGCAGAAGUGUCCAGGAUAUUACACAGACUGAAGGAGAUGUUGAAGAGAAUGAAUAUACCUUUUUUCAACAAUAUACAUUGACUUGAAGGUUGAAGCAAGCGAAGGAAAGAAUAGAACAAUGACUGAUAAUGUGAUAUGGUCAGUGAAGUGGCAGACGGAGUUUAAUAUGGCACUGUGGAAGCAUCCUCAUUAGACUACAGCAGUUCAAGAAGGCUCACUACCACCUUCUCAAGGCAUUUAGGAAUCAGCAAUAAAUCCUGACCUUGGCAAGAAAUGGCAAAACUGUGAAGAGAGGGCAAGGUCUCGGUUUAAGAGUCAAUGUAAUAGAAACACUUCCACCAGCAUCUGUGUAUCCAUGGACAAUCAAUUUUGUGCUUUUGGUGUGGAAUUAAAAUCUACACCUUCUUCAUGCAGAGGUGGGUGCCACUGUAAUGUAGUGGUUAAUGCAUUACAGCUCAGGCUAUUACAGCAUCUGGAGUUUGGAGUUCAAUCCUGGGAUCCUCUGUAAGGAGUCUCUGUACGCUCUCCCUAUGGAAUGCUUGGGAUUCCCCCCAGUACUCUGGCUUCCUCCCAGAGUUCCAAGACAUACCAGAUAUUAAUCAGACAGUCAUAUUCUUCACUCUGAUGGAGGUACACUGGUACCCUGCUGUGUAUCAUCUCACACAGUGCCGAUUGAUUAUAGCCCACUUGUUCUUCAGACCUAAACGCUCACAGGUUCCUGCCAAAGCUGGCUACUGUGCUCCAUCCCUUGAAUUCAUUACUACAGAUUGGGAAGAAUUGGUAACGGAGAAAACUGUGUGAGGUGGCUUUCCAAAAGACAAAGGAGUGGUGACGUCAGACACUGAUCUCACACAUUAUGAUCCACAUCGUCCAGUGACACUUACCCAUGACACCUCGCCUUAUGGUACAGGUGCAAUCAUGUCACAUGUAAUGAGUGAUGGGAGUAAACACCCCAUAGUCUUUGCAUCAUAUUCCCCUGCAGAAAAAAAAUUACACACAAUUUGUCAGAGUGGCCUUGAGUCUGGUUUGGGAUGUAAAAUAUUUCAACCAGUACUUGUAUGGGAGAGAGUUUACCAUCAUCACUUAAUAUCGAACACUCGUGUCCAUUGUCGAUCCACAGAAGGGCGUUUACUGUUGGAAAAGGAAAUACUGAAAAAUUUACGACAGUCGACAAUCCUCUUGACAUAUUCUACCUAAAGUCUCCCUAUGAGGGCAGCAAUGAUCCAAAGGGAAGCUGUCUCAAGCCUGUACAGCAACCCAAAUGGCUGGAAUGUGCAGCAGGAAGUCCAGUUCCCCCAUAUUUACCAUCCAAGCUGAGAGCUAAAGUGUUGGAGGCACUACAUACCGGUCAUCUCGGCAUGGUCAAAUUGAAAGCAUUAGUUUGAAGUCUUGUCUACUGGCCUGGGAUGGAUCAGCUUGCCAUGCACUGCUCGAUGUGGCAACACAUCUGGAAGAAUGGUGCCUAGAGCUGUCAGAACCUCUUCCUGCAGUCCCAGAGUCAACUCUACAUCAACCAUGGAGGAUUCCUCAGAACCUGAGGUUGCUUUUCAGCCACAAGUCUCAUCCCCCAGCCCUUUCAGGAAAUAAAUUAUCCCACAAGAGUAAGGAAUCCUCUGUAGCGAUUAGAUCUUUAUGCCUGAAUGAAGCAAUGCUGUAGAUGUCUGUAUAGUAGUUGUAUUAAAUUGUAUACUGUGAUAGGUAACUACAGAGCAAUAUGUUAUAUAUUUGAAUUGAGAUGCAUUCUAUAUUGAGUUGUUUAUAACUAAGCAGGGAGGAGUGUAAUGUAAUAUUUCAGUAAUAUUUGAGUAAUAUUGUAAAAAUAUUGUUUGAUUAAGCAUUCUUUGUUGUUGGGAUAAUUCAUUGCUGUUU